GUAAGGUGUUAAGUGAUUAUCACCCAGUAGUGAUGAAGUGGUGAUCACCCAAAAUUUAGGAAUCACCUAUGGUGAUCACCUUGAUUGUCACCAACUAUGAGAUUGAGCUAACUUCACUCAAUUAUCUCCCAUCCGUCAUCAAAUGUCAAAAUAACGUACGUUCACACGAUACAUCACCUUCUGUCAACAGGACAGAACGUCAACGCCACGUCAUUGUUCCGUCAGAAUAAGUUGAAUUCAUUCUUCAUGUACACAUUCAAUUAUUCCGUACAUCAAAGGUUCCAUGCCGAUGAUUACGUGUCUGAAUGUUUCCAUAGGAAUUUCAUGUCGCUAAUUUUGACGUUCCGUUGACGUUUUGUACCGGCAACGAAAGACUGACGGAUCAUGUAAAUGGUACCUAAAACAUUUGUUGUUUUUUGCAGAAGAAAAAAAACAAUUCGAUUUACAUUUUUCUAGCCAUUCUUUAAAAGUUACAAAAACGACGAAAACCCUUCGAUAAUCGAUGGAUGCAGUUACAGAAAUCGGACCGGUAGUGAAGCUACAAGGCAUCUACCAAUUACUAUAAUUUGGAGAGCCUUUGUGUCGGUUAUGCUUUUCGGAACGAAACGACGUGUUACUGUUCCCAGCGGAAAUUUCGUUACUGCCCCGGAGUGAAGAUUUGUAUCUUGGGUGGAUUACCGGGGGUUUGCGGCUCAUAGAAUGCGUUCCUCAAACAGAUAUACCAAUUUCAGACCCAAAUCCGGCAUUGUGAUGAAAUAAUUUGCGCGAAAUGAAAUCAGUUGAGGCAGAUUAAUGUAAAAGUGGAAAUGAGGGUAAAGGACGGUUGUGCAGGAACAUGUGUAUAUGUAAAAUCUCAGCAGGAGAACAGGAGGAAUAUGUUGCGUAUGAUUGUCUCACACAGAGCAGUUCCAUAGUAGAUUCCAUCGAAAAUUUUAAUGGAAUUGACGAGCUGAUACGCACGUUUCAGGGUGACUUGGAGUACCAGACCUUACUAAAAAUUGGAACCCUCCGUGGCAGCCAAUGCUAGUAAGGAACAACGUUGCAUGGUACGCGGACCUAUAUUAAAAGUUCUGGUUGGUUCAUCUGGGAAAUCCCACAGAGGUGCGUUCGUACCAGUGGCUCGAUUGUUUGGAACAGUUCUGCAAGAAAACGAUCCCUUGUCAGACGCAUAAAGUGGUUCAUGAAUUCCAACAUGCGCCGGUAUAAGUUUGCCUCUUACCUAAAACCUUCCAGAGUUAACAAAACGGACGACGAUCGAGUCGAAUAUUAUACACUCAAGGUUGAUAAGUUAUCUGUAAAUCAAUCGAUUAUGGUUGAAGAAAACGAAGAGUUGGGUGAAAUUUGCAUAAUUAUAGAGCGAUUCUUAAACGCUUCCGAAUACUGCCGACUAGAAUUUUGCUGAAAAAUAUCGACGAUCAAUUUCAGGAUGACGCUAAUGAUGAGUUUCAGUAUAGUGUACCACGUUUGUUAUGCAGGAGGAAUUUUGACAACCAUCUCUGCUACUUAGAAAGUAUACUACAUCUGUCGUAGUCUUAAAUACAAGCACCACUAAUAUUAUGUCUUCAGUGCACGGAUUGUGAACAAAUCUGCGCGUAAAACCACAGAGGAACUUCCAAGACAAGCUAGAGCCAUGACGAAUCUUAUCGAACGAUGCCCUAGUGAAAAAUGGAAUUUUCGACUCUAAAUCAGAAACAGCGCACGAGUUAGAAGCGAGAACAUAAAGCCACCACCAAUUACAAUCUUCAUAUGGGGAAAGUUUGUCACAAGGGCACCAAAACAACACACAUAUGUAUGUUAUUUGGUGGAGACUACGCUAAACGAUGCAAUGGCCCAACGUCAUCCCAUAAACCCACACAAGUGUACGCAAUGCAAACAAUGUAAAACACGUAUACAUGUAAAACCGAACAUCGCCUAUAUUUGCACAUGCAUAUUUACCUUGAACUCUUUCGUCGGCGGUAGAACAUGCCAAUUUUCUGGAACAAAAUAGUGAGCCUCAUAAAGAGCAGAAACAAGAUCACUUGGACGUCAAUACGAGCGCAAGUUUUGUCACUACCGUUUCGCAAUAAAGUUCAGUUAAAAUGCACAUAGGAUGAAAGGAUAUUGCUUAGCGAGCAAUGUGUCGAAUGUGAUGAGUUUCCUCAUGCGAAAAUCAUUUGACAUUCGAGUGAACGCCAAGCACGACCAUCCGCCAGCACCACCCAACAAAAUUGCUCAUCGAUUUCAUCUAGUAUUAUGUAUCGGAUGAACGUCGUAGUCAUCGUGUACCUUCGACCGGAAGCGACUCUAAAAAACCUUUUUAAAUGUUGCGCUCAACGUGUGAUCUUUUGACAUGUUCAUCCCGUGUUGCUAUGUGACGGUCUGUGGAGUGGGAUGUUAUGGUUUAUCAAUUUUUUUAAUUUUUUUUUAAAUGUCGCAGUGCCUCCAAAAAUCAUGCCCAUCCGAUGAGUGAAUGCGCACUGCAAUCUCUU